CCUACGGGAGGCAGCAGUGAGGAAUAUUGGUCAAUGGCCGGAAGGCUGAACCAGCCAAGCCGCGUGAAGGACGAAGGUGCCAAGCAUUGUAAACUUCUUUUGUCAAGGGACAAAAUCAGGCUCGAGAGCCUGACCGAGGGUACUUGAAGAGAAAGCAUCGGCUAACUCCGUGCCAGCAGCCGCGGUAAUACGGGGGAUGCGAGCGUUAUCCGGAUUUAUUGGGUUUAAAGGGUGCGUAGGCGGACUGUUAAGUCAGCGGUAAAAGCCCGGGGCUCAACCCCGGCGAGCCGUUGAAACUGGCUGUCUUGAGAUGUCGAGAGGUAUGCGGAAUGCGCAGUGUAGCGGUGAAAUGCUUAGAUAUUGCGCAGAACUCCGAUUGCGAAGGCAUCUAACGAAUCCGCGAUUGACGCUGAUGCACGAAAGCGUGGGUAGCAAACAGGAUUAGAUACCCGAGUAGUC
rnacentral:rRNA from 1 species